rnacentral:rRNA from 1 species
AUUGAACGCUGGCGGCAGGCCUAACACACGCAAGUCGAGCGGAUGAAGGGAGCUUGCUCCUGGAUUCAGCGGCGGACGGGUGAGUAAUGCCUAGGAAUCUGCCUGGUAGUGGGGGAUAACGUCCGGAAACGGGCGCUAAUACCGCAUACGUCCUGAGGGAGAAAGUGGGGGAUCUUCGGACCUCACGCUAUCAGAUGAGCCUAGGUCGGAUUAGCUAGUUGGUGGGGUAAAGGCCUACCAAGGCGACGAUCCGUAACUGGUCUGAGAGGAUGAUCAGUCACACUGGAACUGAGACACGGUCCAGACUCCUACGGGAGGCAGCAGUGGGGAAUAUUGGACAAUGGGCGAAAGCCUGAUCCAGCCAUGCCGCGUGUGUGAAGAAGGUCUUCGGAUUGUAAAGCACUUUAAGUUGGGAGGAAGGGCAGUAAGUUAAUACCUUGCUGUUUUGACGUUACCAACAGAAUAAGCACCGGCCAACUUCGUG